AGAGAGCUGGGCUGGAGCUCCAAGCGGAAACCGCGGGAGCCGAGCCCAGCUAGGAAUGCAGACCUCCUGAAAACCAAGCCGAGGACUGCGGGGUCCGGUGUCCACGCAGAGCAGCCAGAAAUUAGACAUAUUUGGAAUUAUUUCAUGCAUCAAGAGAAGCAACUGGAAUCCCUAGAGACACGAAUACAACUUCAGGAAAGAAAUCUGCUUUUCUAUUCUUUGAUGACUGACCUAGGCUUUGUGGCUAGCUCUUCUUCUUACUUACAAAAUUAUUAUCCCAUAAAAAAGCACUGGAAAACUAGAGUUUGGAAAGCAAUGAAAAUGAAGCAGUUGCCUUGUAGAACUGGAAGCUCAACUUCAUGCCUUAAAUGUGGAUUUUUUUUUUCUAAGUUCUUGGGGUGGUUCGGUAUCAGAGCUCAUAAUCAGACACUCAGAGAAUAUGGCCAGGUAUCCUUCUAGCUUGGAUUUAGAUCGCAGAUCAGCUGUGACUAUUGUCACAGUUGCUAGGCAACGUUUGUAUGUUUAUUUCGAGGUCUACCCACAUGUUGCAUCAGAGGCCAAAGCUCAUGUGCUCUGCACU
rnacentral:sRNA from 1 species